AACGCGAAGAACCUUACCUGGGCUUGAACUGUGGUGGACCGUCCUGGAAACAGGGCCUCUCCUUCGGGAGCCGCCAUAGAGGUGCUGCAUGGCUGUCGUCAGCUCGUGUCGUGAGAUGUUGGGUUAAGUCCCGCAACGAGCGCAACCCCCGUCGCAUGUUGCCAGCAUUCAGUUGGGGACUCAUGCGAGACUGCCGGUGACAAACCGGAGGAAGGUGGGGAUGACGUCAAGUCAUCAUGCCCCUUAUGUCCAGGGCGACACACGUGCUACAGUGGCGCGUACAGAGGGCUGCGAUACCGCGAGGUGGAGCGAAUCCCUUAAAGCGCGUCCCGGUUCGGAUUGCAGGCUGAAACUCGCCUGCAUGAAGGCGGAGUUGCUAGUAAUCGCGGAUCAGCCACGCCGCGGUGAAUACGUUCCCGGGCCUUGUACACACCGGUACUA
rnacentral:rRNA from 1 species